GGUCGAAUGGUGUAGUGGUUAUCACGUCUGCUUCACAUCAAGUUCGCAGAAGGCCCCGGGUUCGACCCCCGGUUCGACCU